UGCAGGAGUAGACAAUUGUUUUCAUUAUUUAUAAUCUCAAAAUUUCUAUAUUAAUCUAGUAUAAAACGUUACAGAUUGUUAUUAUUUCAUUAAUUUAUAUACUCGAUGUUAUAAAAUGCAUACAAGUUAUCAUAAUGUUGACGUAUUCACCUUUAAGGUUAUGUUAUAGGUAGUGUUCUCUUGUUUUAGUUAAGUGCAAGUGAAGCUAGGAUUAGGAAUCCUAAUAAUAUAUGGAUAGAUCUAAAUAAAGGAAGGUCCUGUCUAGCAAAUGUGGCGUGGACAUCACAGACAGUUCAGAAGAGGAUGACCAAGUCAGUGUUGUGAUAUCCAAAUGAGGCACAGACUUCUGACGCCGAUGUCGAAAAUACGCAGGGAUAAAUUAUGGCGAUGGCGGUGCCAGUGGAGCGUGGUGACGAUGGUGGCGGUGGCGCUGGUGGUGUACAACGCCGCGGCCAACGUGUGGCUGCUGCGGCCGGCGCCCUGCCCCGUGCGCUCCUCGCCGCCGCCCUCCGAGCCGCCCUCGUGCGAGCCCUGCGCCGACGUCGCGCCCGCCCCCGACGACGACCCUAUAUCCCACCUCGACCUCCGCCUCGGCCGGUGGGACAGUUCACGAUCCUACAGGAUGUUCGACUACGCCACCGUCGGCGAGACUUACGCGGACUUGUCGUCCAGUCGACGCGUGUGUCUCGCCACGCAGAGCUCGAUAGAGCGCCUCCACGAGCUCCUGAGGAUAGCGUACCACUGGUCGGGACCGAUAUCGGUGGCGGUGUUCGUGGCCGGCGACGAGCUCCGCCUGCUGCGGGCCUUCACGACCUGGCUGUUUAGAUGUCAGCCGGACAUUUACUCGCGACUCGCUCUGCAUUUGGCCAUGCCAAAGGAGAGGCCGGGGGCUCACGGCGAGAUGCCUCUAUGGGUGAAAAAUUGUGAUCUGCCGCCUCUACCCGAGGGAGAAAGGCAAGCGGACACGGUGGCGUGGCGGGCGAGGCAUCCGUAUCCUCAGAAUCACCUGAGAAACUUAGCGCGAAGGAACUGUCAUACGCCUUACGUGUUUCUCGUAGACAUAGACAUCGUCCCCUCCCGAAGUAUGGCGGAGGAGUUGGAGCAGUUCCUAGCUCACGCACCUCGAUGCCAGUUAUGUGCGUACGUGGUGCCAACGUACGAGCUGGACCGCCGAGUGGCCGCCUUCCCCGGGAACAAGUCGGAGCUCCUGCGACUCUCGCGCAAGAAGCUAGCUAUCCCCUUCCACAGAAAAGUGUUUAUCUACAAUCAGUAUGCGUCUAAUUUUACAAGAUGGGAGUCAAGCGGGGGCAACGAGAGCUCGGAGACGCACAUCAGCCAUGACGUCACCAACUUUGAGUUAUUGUAUGAGCCGUUCUACGUGGCGAGUGAUGCCGUCCCCGCACACGACGAGCGAUUCCUCGGCUACGGCUUCACCAGGAACACGCAGAUCUUCAAGAAGCGGUGGAGGAGAAUGAAACUGAGCUACAGGAUGUGGACUUGGAGGCAGUAUGUCCGGAGCUCAGUGGACAAAUCAUCGGUGGCAGACCGAGUUCUGUCACCAGACACCCUUAUCAGGUGUCCAUGGUGAUCAACGGGAACUCAUUUUGUGGAGGCUUCAUCAUCAGUAGAGACUAUGUGAUGACCGCAGCGCAUUGUGUCCAAAACACCUCUCCACAAGCCAUCCGGCUCCGUGUGGGCAGUACUCGUCGCGACUCCGGAGGUCGUAUAGUCGCCGUCUCCAACGUCACAGUACAUCCGCUGUACGGCCAGCCCAUGUAUGACCACG